rnacentral:rRNA from 1 species
CCUACGGGAGGCAGCAGUGAGGAAUAUUGGUCAAUGGCCGAAAGUCUGAACCAGCCAAGCAGCGUGAAGGAUGACUGCGCUAUGGGUCGUAAACCUCUUUUAUAUGGGGACAAAACGGGGUACGCAUACCCUCUUGAGUGUACCCUGUGAAUAAGGAUCGGCUAACUCCGUGCCAGCAGCCGCGGUAAUACGGAGGAUCCGAGCGUUAUCCGGAUUUAUUGGGUUUAAAGGGAGCGUAGGUGGAUUGUUAAGUCAGUUGGGAAAGUUCGCGGCUCAACCGUAACAUUGCAGUUGAAACUGGCAGCCUUGAGUACAGCAGAGGCAGGCGGAAUGCGCGGUGUAGCGGUGAAAUGCUUAGAUAUCGCGAAGAACUCCGAUUGCGAAGGCAGCUCACUGUGCUGCAACUGACGCUGAGGCACGAAAGUGUGGGGAUCGAACAGGAUUAGAUACCCUGGUAGUC